AAAUUGAAGAGUUUGAUCAUGGCUCAGAUUGAACGCUGGCGGCAGGCCUAACACAUGCAAGUCGAACGGUAACAGGAAACAGCUUGCUGUUUCGCUGACGAGUGGCGGACGGGUGAGUAAUGUCUGGGAAACUGCCUGAUGGAGGGGGAUAACUACUGGAAACGGUAGCUAAUACCGCAUAACGUCGCAAGACCAAAGAGGGGGACCUUCGGGCCUCUUGCCAUCGGAUGUGCCCAGAUGGGAUUAGCUAGUAGGUGGGGUAAAGGCUCACCUAGGCGACGAUC
rnacentral:rRNA from 1 species